GCGGGCGUGGUGAAAUGGCAGACACGACGGUCUUAGAAGCCGUUGCCGCAAGGCAUGGGGGUUCAAGUCCCUCCGCCCGCACCA
rnacentral:tRNA from 1 species